AAAUUCACUUUGUGGUGCUAUUGUAGCUGUGUUGGUCCCAUGAUAUUAGAGAGACAAGGUGAGUGAGUGAGGUGAUACCUUUUACUGGACCUGCUGCACUUGGUGAAAGAGACAAGCUUUCAAGCUUACACUGA